GACGAACCACACAAACGUUAUUCGGAAUUACUGGGCUUAAAGGGUGCGUAGGCGGCGCGGAAAGUAGGGUGUGAAAUCCCUCGGCUCAACCGAGGAAUUGCGCCCUAAAACUACCGUGCUCGAGGGGAGAUAGAGGUGAGCGGAACUUAGGGUGGAGCGGUGAAAUGCGUUGAUAUCCUAAGGAACACCGGUGGCGAAAGCGGCUCACUGGAUCUCUUCUGA
rnacentral:rRNA from 1 species